rnacentral:rRNA from 1 species
CAAUAGCGUAUACUAAUGUUGUUGCAGUUAAAAAGCUCGUAGUUGAACUUCUGGUAGGAGUGUCCCGGCCUUUUUGUUUUUACAAAUUGUAUGCUGUGUGACAUCUCUGGCCAUCCUUCUUCUUUGUUUAAAGAAGAUCUUUCACUGUAAAAAAAUUAGGGUGUUCAAAGCAAAAGUUUCUUUGGAAUAUAUUGGUAUGGGAUGAUAAGAUAGGCUCUAGAUGCUAUUUUGUUGGUUUGCACAUUUAGAGAAUGAUUAACAGGGACAGUUGGGGGUAUUCGUAUUUACAUGUCAGAGGUGAAAUUCUUGGAUUUUGGAAAGACGAACUACUGCGAAAGCAUUUACCAAGGAUGUUUUCAUUAA